CAGCCGCCACGGUAAGACGGAGGGUGCUAGCGUUGUUCGGAAUCACUGGGCGUAAAGGGCGCGUAGGCGGCCUGUUAAGUCGGAUGUGAAAGCCCGGGGCUCAACCCCGGAACUGCAUCCGAGACUGGCAGGCUUGAGACCGGGAGAGGAGGGUGGAAUAUCCAGUGUAGAGGUGAAAUUCGUAGAUAUUGGAUGGAACACCGGUGGCGAAAGCGGCUCUCUGGCCCGGAUCUGACGCUGAGGCGCGAAAGCGUGGGGAGCAAACAGGAUUAGAUACCCCAGUAGUCCCUGUCUCUUAUAC
rnacentral:rRNA from 1 species